ACCUGAUUUCCCAGGAGCUGGAUGAUAUAAACCAGUAGGAAAAGAGCUGUGGAAACAAGACUGCUAUAUUGAGAAAAUAUUUCUGUUUUGAUUCAUCUUGGUUUCUCUGGCCUUUAUUUGUUAUGAAAGAUAAUUUCUUAGUUUCUAUAUUAACCAAUCCUGCCUGUCUAGAGACACCAAAAACUACUCCCAACACAAAAUUAACUACUUAAAUCCAGCGGACUGUAUGUAUGCAUUCCUGAAUGCAAAGAUGACUUACGGCAUUGAAGCUGAUAACAUCUUCAAAAAUUGACUGAAGAGAGUUAUUCCCAUGAUGUAUAUAAACAUUUGUUUGUUCCUGUAGCUCACAGAACUGAUGUUUUUUAUCACCUUCUUUUUGUUAAUAUUCCUCUCUGAUAAUAACUGCCCUUUUCUCUCCAGCUAGCUAAUUAAUUAUCACGGUUCAGUUUAAGAUAGUUAAUCUCAGCAAGUAUUUAAAUUGUUUCUAUUUGAACUCUAAAAACGAUAUUGCUCAAAGCCCUUGUUUUUUCCCCUUCUAUAGUACUGUUUUAUUGACUUUCUCUGCAAACCUUUAUUUUUCUUUUACACCGUAA